rnacentral:rRNA from 1 species
AGUGAACGCUGGCGGUAGGCCUAACACAUGCAAGUCGAACGGCAGCACAGUAAGAGCUUGCUCUUACGGGUGGCGAGUGGCGGACGGGUGAGGAAUACAUCGGAAUCUACUUUUUCGUGGGGGAUAACGUAGGGAAACUUACGCUAAUACCGCAUACGACCUACGGGUGAAAGCAGGGGAUCUUCGGACCUUGCGCGAUUGAAUGAGCCGAUGUCGGAUUAGCUAGUUGGCGGGGUAAAGGCCCACCAAGGCGACGAUCCGUAGCUGGUCUGAGAGGAUGAUCAGCCACACUGGAACUGAGACACGGUCCAGACUCCUACGGGAGGCAGCAGUGGGGAAUAUUGGACAAUGGGCGCAAGCCUGAUCCAGCCAUACCGCGUGGGUGAAGAAGGCCUUCGGGUUGUAAAGCCCUUUUGUUGGGAAAGAAAAGCAGCAGGUUAAUACCCCGCUGUUCGGACGGGACCCAAAGAAUAAGCACCGGCGAACUUCGU